rnacentral:rRNA from 1 species
GAUGAACGCUAGCUACAGGCCUAACACAUGCAAGUCGAGGGACCGGCGCACGGGUGAGUAAUACGUAACCAACCUGCACUUUACGCGGGGAUAGCCUUUCGCAAGAAAGAUUAAUAACCGAUAUAAAGGCUGGGGAUGCGUUCCUAUAGGUUGUUGGUGAGGUAACGGCCCACCAAGACUUCGAUGGAUAGGGGUUCUGAGAGGAAGGUCCCCCACAUUGGAACUAAGGCACAGUCCACUCUCCUACGGGAGGCAGCGGUGAGGACCAUUAGUCACUGGUCGUUAGCCUAGACCAGCCAAGUAGGGUGAAGGGUGCAUGCUUCUGGAUCGUAAGCUUCUUUUGUAUAAGAAUAGGUAUUAUAUGAAUAAGGAUCGGCUAACUCCGUGCCAGCAGCCGCGGUAAUUC